UUUUUCUUUUUCUUUAGCAAUAUCAUUUUCAGUGUAUGGGUAUUCCACAUCUUUGUCAGAUUCAUCCCAAAGUCUUUUACAUUUUUGAGACUAUUAUAAAUGGAAUUCUUAUUUUUAUAUUUCAACUUCUGAUUUUUCAUUGUUUUUAUAUAGGAACAAAAUUGGUUUCUGUAUAUUGGUCUUAUAUCCUGCAACUUUUCUAACUUCACUAGUUCUAGUAACUUUUGGGGGAAUUCCAAGGGAUUUUCUACAAAGACCAGGGGUUUGCAAACUAUGGACCAUGGGCUAAAUGUAGUCUGAUGCUUGUUCUACAAGUAAAGUUUUACUGGAACACAGACAUGCUCAUUUGGUUAUAUAUUGUCUAUGAUUCUUUUGUAUUACAAUGACAAAGGUAAGUAGUUCAACAGAGAUAACAUAGAUAAGCACGUCACAUACAAUAAAGGCAGUCUUGUUUCUAUAACCUUCAGUAAAAUGCUGAAUAGUCACUUCUAUUCAGCAUCCUUGUCCUGUUUUGAUCUUAGAGGAAAAGCAUUGUCUUUCACUAUCAUGUAUGGUGUUGAUAGAGAUUUUUUGUUUUGUUUUGUUUUGUCUGUGCCUUUCUAGGGCCGUUCCUGCGGCAUAUGCAGGAAUGGCCCUAAAAAAGGCAAAAAAACCAAAAAAAAAAAAAAAAAAGUUUCGUAAAAUUCACUACGUAGUCAUCUGGGAUUGAGGUUUUCUUUGUGAAAAGGUUUUUAACUACAGAUUAAAAGUUUUAGUACAUAUAGGGCAAUUAGGGUAUCUAUUUCUUUGUGAGCAAGAUUUUAUGGUUUGCAUUUUCAAAGAAUUGUCUGUUUCAUCUAACUUAUUGGAUUUACUGGCAUAAAUUUUCAGUUUUUUUUAAUCAUCCUUUUAAUACUGGUUGAAAAUGUAGUGAUGUCACCUCUCUCAUUUCUGAUAUCGAUAAUUUGUGUCAUCUUUUUUUCUGAUAAGUCUAGCUAAAAAUACAUCAGUUAUGUUGAUCUUUUCAUUGGUUUCCUCUAUUAUUUUGGUUUUCCAUUUUACUGAGUUCUUUUUUUUAAUUCAAAUUACUUUGGGUUUAAUUUGCUCUUCUUUUUCUAGUUUCUUAAAGUGGAAGCUGAGGUUGGUAACUUAAGAUUUUUCUUCUUUCCUAAUAAAGUCAUUUACUUCUCUAAAUUUCCUUCUAAGUGCUAGUUUUGUGUCAUCCCCUACACUGUGUGUGUCAUCCUAUGCAUUCCCUAUUUUUUAUUUUUUGACCCAUUUGUUAUUUAGAUUAUAAAUAUUUGAGGAUUUUCCAAUGAUCUAUGGCAAUGAGUCUUAUUACUGAGGCAAAAACCUCUGGGUACUGUACCAAAUGUUAUAUGAAUCUCGAUGUUUUCCACUCUGGGUAGAAGGAAUAGGCACCAUUCUCAGUACUGUGUGAGCACCAUACACUGUUUCUGCUAAUCCUUUUAGAGGGACCAUAUGCUGAUGAGUAUUCAGCUAAACAAUCAAGGGGGAUCCUCUACAGAUCUUUGAAAAAUUCCCUCUCUGUGCAGUACUCUGUCCUAUAACCCCUAGCCACCUUGGUCUCCUUGGUCUCUCAGCUCCAUCUCCUCAACCCACAGAGUCCAUCAGGCUCUGUCCACUUCCCUGUACUGAAAACUCUCCCAUGGCAGUAAGCUGCAGCAGCCGUAUGUCUCACUCGUUUUUUCUUCUUGCCUCUCAAGUAUC
rnacentral:lncRNA from 1 species